rnacentral:lncRNA from 1 species
CUCAAGAAAGACAACUUGCUUUAGGGAUAGUUCAAGUCAUAACCCUCCCAGAGUUGAGAGCUGCUGUGAGCAGACCCUGACCUGAGCCUGGCUGAGGAAGAGAAAAGUAGUGGUGUCUGAGAAGUGCCCAUGUUGCUCCAGGUGUGCAUUUUUCUAAUUCCUUACCACACUAAGUUA